rnacentral:misc_RNA from 1 species
GGCCACCGACGGGAAUGAGAGUUCGAUCCCCAGAACGGCCUGGUAGUAGACGUAGGUUACGUUGCCGAGGAUGGCCAUCACAAUGCCGGAUGCGAACAAGUACCAGGGCAGCGGCCGGUUCGGGCGGUGCAUGAGGAUGCCGGUCACGAACGCCCCUAGCGUGCAUAUGG